rnacentral:tRNA from 1 species
GCCUGGCUGGCUCAAUUGGUAGAACAUGAGAUUCUCAAUCCUGGGGCUGUGAGUUCAAGCCCCACAUUAGGCA